rnacentral:rRNA from 1 species
UCUCCUACGGGAGGCAGCAGUAGGGAAUCUUCCACAAUGGGCGAAAGCCUGAUGGAGCAACGCCGCGUGUGUGAUGAAGGGUUUCGGCUCGUAAAACACUGUUGUAAGAGAAGAAUGACAUUGAGAGUAACUGUUCAAUGUGUGACGGUAUCUUACCAGAAAGGAACGGCUAAAUACGUGCCAGCAGCCGCGGUAAUACGUAUGUUCCAAGCGUUAUCCGGAUUUAUUGGGCGUAAAGCGAGCGCAGACGGUUAUUUAAGUCUGAAGUGAAAACCCUCAGCUCAACCUGAGGAAUUGCUUUGGAAACUGGAUGACUUGAGGCAGA